rnacentral:rRNA from 1 species
UUUACCAAAAACAUCGCCUCUUGCAAGACCAACGAAUAAGAGGUCCCGCCUGCCCUGUGACUAUAUGUUUAACGGCCGCGGUAUUUUGACCGUGCGAAGGUAGCGCAAUCACUUGUCUUUUAAAUGGAGACCCGUAUGAAUGGCUCCACGAGGGCUUAGCUGUCUCCCCCUCCCAGUCAAUGAAAUUGAUCUCCCCGUGCAGAAGCGGGGAUACUUACAUAAGACGAGAAGACCCUAUGGAGCUUAAGGCGCCAGGACAGCUCAUGUUAAACACCCCUAGAUAAAGGAAUGAACCUAGUGAAUCCUGCCCCAGUGUUUUUGGUUGGGGCGACCGCGGGGAAAUACAAAACCCCCAUGUGGAGUAGGAACACUAUAUGUUCCCAAACCCAAGAGCUACCGCUCUAAUAAACAGAAUUUCUGACCAGCUAAGAUCCGGCAAUGCCGAUCAACGGAAGGAGUUACCCUAGGGAUAACAGCGCAAUCCUCUUAAAGAGUCCUUAUCGACAAGGGGGUUUACGACCUCGAUGUUGGAUCAGGACAUCCUAAUGGUGCAGCCGCUAUUAAGG